rnacentral:rRNA from 1 species
UACGGAGGGUGCAAGCGUUAUCCGGAAUCACUGGGCGUAAAGGGCGCGUAGGUGGUCUGUUAAGUCUGGCGUUAAAGCCUGGGGCUCAACCCCAGAUCAGCGUUGGAUACUGGCAGGCUAGACGGUUGGAGAGGCGAGUGGAAUUACCAGUGUAGCGGUGGAAUGCGUAGAUACUGGUAGGAACACCCAUUGCGAAGGCAGCUCGCUGGACAACACGUGACACUGAGGCGCGAAAGUGUGGGGAGCAAACCGGAUUAGAUACCCCCGUAGUCCCU